rnacentral:rRNA from 1 species
GACGAACGCUGGCGGCGUGCUUAACACAUGCAAGUCGAACGGAAAGGCCCUGCUUUUGUGGGGUGCUCGAGUGGCGAACGGGUGAGUAACACGUGAGUAACCUGCCCUUGACUUUGGGAUAACUUCAGGAAACUGGGGCUAAUACCGGAUAGGAGCUCCUGCUGCAUGGUGGGGGUUGGAAAGUUUCGGCGGUUGGGGAUGGACUCGCGGCUUAUCAGCUUGUUGGUGGGGUAGUGGCUUACCAAGGCGUUGACGGGUAGCCGGCCUGAGAGGGUGACCGGGGAGAGGGGGAGAGAGAUGGAGGCGGGCCGGCUACGGGAGGGAGCAGUGCGGAAGGUGGAGCGAUGGGCGGGGGCCGGAAGCAGGGUAGCAGCGUGGGGGAGGCUGGGGUUGGGGUAGUAAGCCUGUAACCGCAGGGAAGAAGCGUGAGUGAGGGUACGGGAAGAAGAAGCACCGGCCAGCUACGUG